rfam:Picea glauca, whole genome shotgun sequence.
AUGUACAUUCCUACAACAUAGUGUUAAUGCAUCGGAUCCCAUUAGAAAUUUGCAUUUAAGUGCGCUCAGGCUAGAGUAAUAUUGGGAUGGGUGACCAUUCGGGAAGUCCUAUUUUUUUACAUG